CCCCUAGAUGUUCUGGGCCGCACGCGCGCUACACUGAACAGUUCAACAAGUCUUAACCUUGGCCGAUAGGUCUGGGUAAUCUUUGAACGCUGUUCGUGAUUGGGAUAGACCUUUGCAAUUAUGGGUCUUCAACGAGGAAUUCCUAGUAAACGCAAGUCAUCAGCUUGCAUUGAUUACGUCCCUGCCCUUUGUACACACCGCCCGUCGCACCUACCGAUUGAAUGGUCCGGUGAAAUCUCGGGACGGCGGCUUGGUCGCUUGCGUCCGACUGCUGAAACUUGAUUAAACCAUAUCAUUUAGAGGAAGGUGAAGUCGUANCC
rnacentral:rRNA from 1 species